AAAAAAAAAGAAUUAAAAAUUAAAACUAAAGAUACCAUUUUCGUUAAACAGAAAGAGAAAGAAAAGAGAACAUUUUGAGGUACCUGAGUAGGGAAAUCAAGAGUCUGAGGUUGUUGUUGUUGGAUAACUGACGGCGGUUGAUGGUGGUGGUGGUGAUCAGAUGUGGGUUUUUGAGGGGGCGGAGUAAAAAGACUGAAGAGAUCGGAGAUGAAUAGGAAAAGGGGUAAUCCCACUAGGAGGAGCUGAGUUCGAUCCAUUGUUUGUGUGUGUGGGUGAGAGAGGGAGAGACAGAAAGAGGAAGAAAGAGGAGAGGGUUUUCUCAAGGAAUAGAAAAUGAUUUUUUAAAAAAAUGUAAAAUCCUUUUUUGGGUGAGAAAUUAGAUCUGGAAUUACUUCUUUGUGUUUGGUUCGCUGUAAAAAAUGGUGACAUUUCAUGAUUUGCAUUAGGGCUGUUUAUCGGGCGGAUUGGUCGGUUUUUUACUCUUAACUGUUUGACUUGGCG
rnacentral:lncRNA from 1 species